GAAAAGCAGAGUUGGUCCUUGAAAUAAAGGCCCCUGGGAGAGGGGAUUCUAGCAAGGCAGUCACAUUGAAAGAAUUCACAAUUCCCACAGAUAUAUUGAUCCUUGUGAUUAUUAGUACACACACACACACACACACACACGCACACAUCCCACACACCCCCACCCCAUACACACACACACACACACACACACACACACACACACAGGCUUCAUCCUGAACAGAUACGAUGUACAGAGCAUCGCACUGGCUGGCCCAUAGGGUUCUUGUGGGAGAGGCCAGGCCUCUGUGACCAUGAAAGGGGUUGCAACUGAUACAGUCAGGGAGGGAUCCCAGGAAGGGGAGUGAUUCCCUUAAAUUUGCUUGUUGAAACCCGUAUCUGGCAGGGGAAAGGAGGAUCCGGUGCAGAGCUUGGAUUCAGCAGAGGUGGCUGUUGAUGUGACCAGUCCCCCUGUUUGGGUGGGAAGGCCCUGAAUGACACAUGCAGCAAGCUUUCAGCCUCGGAGGGCAGUACAUCCUAAAGUGAAUCACCAACUUAAUUAUUCCUCUGCAAAUUACCAUCAGUGAUACGAGAUUCAACGACAAGGAGCUGUGAGAGCGCACAGGAAGGGAGCUCAUUUCUGGGGCUUUACCCCAUAAAGACAAAGAAACUGGCUGAGGAGACAAGAGAAAGAAAGUAGCAGAAGAUGGGAAGGAAACAGACGGAGUCUCACUUGUGUUGCCAAGAGAGCUUGAGCAUCAACUGGCAGUGAGGAUGGCAGGAAAGCAACUGACUUAUCCCCUCUCACCAGACCUUCCAACUGUCUGCAACACUGGCAUUGCCACGUAUCCCGGCACGUUGUUGAUCCCAUUGUGGCAUUGUGGUCAGAGAAUAUACAAAUCGCUGAAGAAUCCAUUGUUUAUGGACAUUCCUGGGAUAGUAUUCAUUUAAAUAUCUCUAUGUACACUGUAAUGGAAUAUAAUACAAAAAUGGAGUUGCACGCAAAAUGAGGGUACCACUC
rnacentral:lncRNA from 1 species